AUGUCACACACUCCCAGCACUCACACCCCAGCCUUGACCCCUGACUGCUGGGACAUGUCACACCCUCCCAGCACUCACACCACCUGUAAGUCCCCUGACUGCUGGGACAUGUACACACUCCCAGCACUCACACCACCUGUAAGUCCCCUGACUGCUGGGACAUGUCACACCCUCCCAGCACUCACACCACCUGUAAGUUCCCUUUCUUUGGUGAUUAUCCAAUUCAUGCCCACCUCACUUUCUUGGCCAGUUUCUCAGAGUGGGCUUCCCAGACCACAGCAAGAGCAUCAGAGGGGAACCCAUGGGAAAUGCAAAUUCUCUCACCACACCUCAGACCUACUGAAUCACAAACAGGAGGUGGAAGCCAGCAAUGUGUUUAAAAAAAAAGAAAAACCCUUAGGCGAUUCUGAGGCCAGCUCAAGUCUGAGAGCCAUGGAGCCCUGCAGGGUUUGCCAGGACAGGACAACUCCUUAUUGUCCCCACCCACUGUGCUAGAUUGUGUGGUCUAAGGAGGGGACACCAGGUGUUUUUACAUCUCAUGGUGUCCCCGGGAGCCAAGCUUUAGCGACAGAGACAGACAACAAGGAGGCCUUGGUAAGGCAUCCUGUGAAUGAAUGGUGAGAAACUUCCCACAGCCCGUAAUUCCCGUCCCUCAUUAUUUCUAAACCCCUGCAUCUAACUCCAGAACCCACCCCCACCCCCGCCCGCAAAUCAACACUGAAUCUGCUGUGCAAAGACCUGGGUUCCAGCUCCAGCUCCCAGGCCCCAGUGGGCUUUCCCUCUGUGUAAUCAUGCAGGCAGUUUCUAAUCGCACACUUGGCCUUACUUUCACACCUCCAAAGUGGAAAUAUAAUCACAGAGCCUAUUUCCCAGGAUCAAGAGAAUUCACUAAUUCUUAGUAGCAUGCAGGCUGUACAUGGUUAAGCACUCACCAAAUUUGGGUAUUAUUACUGUCCUAAUCAUAAGGAUUUAACUUUAGCUGGUCUCUCCUCUCGGGGCUCAGCUCUCUAAGACAGACUGCAGACUAGCUCUUCUCUGCUUGCAAAAACUUCUUCCAUCUCAUGCCUAUCCCAGGCCUCCAACCUCUGCAGGCAACCGGGAGCCCUGAGCUUCCCGGUCCCCACCUUCCUGGACAGCAGGGCUGUGGCCAGCCGGAUGGGUGUCCUCACACUUGUCCAACCAGAGGGCAGCGGGAGUCCCUCUCCCGGGUCCCCAGGCACCUCUGGAUUAAGGAACCCCACCAGUCAGCAGGUGUACUCCAUCUCUCAGCGUGUGUGUGCCUGUCUGGGUGCUGGGAUUCCAGGAGCCGUCUCUCCACGCGAGCUACUUCUAGCCCGAUUUCCGUACGUACUAACAGCAGAAGUACUGACAGCGCGACUCAAACAUAUCCCUAUCCGAUACAUGCUCAACAACAACAACAACAACAAGGCUUCUGGCUCCCUUUAAAGCAGAGGGUCCAUCACCCGCCCGCAAAGUGGCCCACUGCAGGGCAGUG
rnacentral:lncRNA from 1 species